GAGAUCGUGGAGAGAAUAAGCAGAUGCAGGAAUGUGUUGAAUGCCACAUGACAGCCUCCAGUUAGAUCCUUCCAUAAGUAAGACUCAAAUGAAAGCCAGGUGUCAAAGCUAUGGAGCCCAUGUGGAUCAUAGGAGUCAACUACUAGGACACAGUUCAGAACAGAAAACGGGUCAGAGGUUCCUCCUCUCUGAGCUAUGUUUCCAUGGCAGAGUGAGCCACCAAGCACCAGACCCUUUGAGGACUGCCAUCAACGACAAAUGUUCUUUUAUAGAACACAGCUCCAGAGAGGUGACAUACAGAGUGUGGCAUACACAUGGUGAACAACCUGGAAAGAAGAAGGAAGGGCUGUGGUGGGGAGGGAACUCUUGUUUUUCUCCAGCUGAUUGA
rnacentral:lncRNA from 1 species